AGCAUAAUAACAUAAUCAAUUCAUUUUCAAAUACAAAUUCAUUGAAAUCUGUAUCUUUCAAAUAUCCAUAUACAUAAUCGUAAAUCUGAUUCGAAACAAAUCACAUUCAUCUCAACAGCCUUUAGCUACGACCACACUUAUACCCUGUGGCUAGGCUAGAAACAGAACCGCACUUAUACCCUGCGGUGUGGGCCAGAAUACCGCACUUAUAUAUCCAAAAAUCAUAUUUUUUUUUAAAAUAAUCACAAUAUAUAUAAAACUUAAAUUUUAACAUUCUCCUAGGGCUGACCCUGCCAAGGUGUCUAGCACCCCGGUUUCGGAUUCGGAUUCGGGUUCAUACCCG
rnacentral:lncRNA from 1 species